AACUAACGCUGGCGGCGUGCCUAACACAUGCAAGUCGUACGAGAAAGCCGGCUUCGGCUGGUGAGUAAAGUGGCGCACGGGUGAGUAACGCGUGGAUAAUCUGCCCUUAAGUGUGGAAUAACGUACCGAAAGGUGCGCUAAUACCGCAUAAUGCCUGGCAACACAAGUUGUCCGGCCAAAGAAGGCCUCUGUUUACAAGCUUUCGCUUCAGGAUGAGUCCGCGUACCAUUAGCUUGUUGGUGGGGUAAUGGCCUACCAAGGCUGCGAUGGUUAGCUGGUCUGAGAGGAUGAUCAGCCAUACUGGAACUGAGACACGGUCCAGACUCCUACGGGAGGCAGCAGUGAGGAAUAUUGCGCAAUGGGGGCAACCCUGACGCAGCAACGCCGCGUGAGUGAGGAAGGUUUUCGGACUGUAAAGCUCUGUCGAGCGGGAAGAAGUGUACCAUGGCUAAUAUCCAUGAUAUUUGACGGUACCGCUAGAGG
rnacentral:rRNA from 1 species